rnacentral:lncRNA from 1 species
ACCCCCUCCAUUUCAUUAUUUUUUCCUCCCCAUUUUCUUAGUUUCAACUUUAAUUCUUCAAUUUCCAAUGGCCAGCGUUGAGGUACUUUUAUACCAAUGUUUUUUUUUUUUUGGCAAUUUUUUUCAUCUUUUCUUUCUAAAUGAAAACUUAAAAUUGAUCAAGAUCAGUUAGCUAACCUCUUCUUCAACUGAUCAGUGCUCUUUUUAAACUUUUCAAGAUUUAUAUUUUACACAAUCUGAUGAAGUGAAUAAAAUCUAAUGGUUGAUCAAUAUUCUUUAUAUCUUGAAAAUAUUAUUAGAUCAUUCUUGGAUAAAGGUUUUAUAAUGAAAUAUCUUGAGAAGGUCAAUGAUCACAGCUUUUAUAUGACCAUAGUUUGAUAUCAAGAAUUCAAAACAACAUUAUUACAACCACGCGUCAACCCCAAGCAAGUUAGGAUCACCUAUCUGAAUCUUCACUGACUAUAUCACUUCAUUUAAGUUCUCUAUAUUUUCUACUGUCAUAUAAAUCGGUGAUCGACCAUAAAGAUUCCUAGUAUAUUUAGGAACUAAAGUAAAACAUACUAACAUGACGAUAACAUAUUCCCAACUAAUUGUUAUCGCCUAUAUAGACCUUUUCUCAUGAGUUGAAAUUUCAAAUUUUGUUUGAAGGUUGAAUCUGCACCAGUAGCAGCAGUAGAGACUACUCCAGCUGAGGUUGAGGUUCAAACAACCCCAGAGGAAACCAAAGUAGAGGAACCAACCCCAGUUGUAGAAAGCGAAUCCGUCGUCGAAUCAGCACCAGCACCAGCACCAGUAGAAGAGCCUGCUCCCGCUGAGGAAGCAGCCCCUGCUGCCGAAGAACCCGUGGCUGCAGCAGAACCUGCAGCCACAGAAACAGAGGAGCCAGUUGCGGCAACUGAGGAACCAGUUGCGGCCCCAGUCGCGGAGGCUGAACUUGAAGCAGCCCCUGUUGAGGAACCAGAAACAGAGAAAGCUGUCCCUGUAGCAGAGGAAUCAGCUCCAGUAACUGAAGAAGCAGUGGCUGAAGAAACUACAAAUGCAGCAGCUGAGGAACCAGUAGCAGCAGCAGAAUCUGUUGAAGAGAAAGCAGUUCCAGUGGAGAAAGCUGAAGAGUAAAUUCUACUGGAAACUGUCUAAGGAAUUUUAGUGAAGAUGGGGUUGAUGAAUGAUGGGGGUCUUAUUAAAGCUGGUUGUGUUUAUUCUGUUUCUUAGUAUUUUAUUUACUACUAUUAUUACUACUAUAUUAUUAUGGUUACAGUGAGGGCAUGUGUUAUUUUUAGCAUAUGCCUAGGUCUAGGUGGUCGGGUGGAUACUCCAUAGUUUUUUAAGCUAUGUUUGUUAUCUUGUCCAGGGUUCAGUUUGCUAUGGUUUGAUUAAGAUGAUAUGAGAUUUGAUCUCUAGUUUUUUAUAAUAAAAGGGUCAUAUCUUUUUUGGUUGUUUUUAUCAAUGGGUUAAUGCUUUCAUUCUCUCGAUGUUAGCUAUCUGAUCAUCAAAAAUUGGAUCAUUUACUGUUAAUAUACAACCAAGAAGGCUGUUGCAUGCCAACCACAAGGGGAUGAAAAAAACUCAGCUUUUCGGGGCAGGCCAAUCUUUUGUACCCGUUAUUCUCUCGUUAUAAAAAAAGCUUGCGAAAAGCACAGACCUGAGUCACUAAUGUCGCGGUGAA